UGGCUCAGUUGGUAGAGCAUGGUGUUUGCAACGCCAGCUUGGUGUGUGCAACGCCAGGGUUGUGGGUUCGAUUCUCAC
rnacentral:tRNA from 1 species